GCUGGGUGUGGUGGCUCACGCCUGUAAUCCCAGCUACUCAGGAGGCUGAGGCACGAGAAUCGCUUGAAUCCGGGAGGCAGAGUUUGCAGUGAGCUGAGAUUGCACCACUGCACUCCAGCCUGGGUGAUAGAGUGAGACUGUGUCUCAA
rnacentral:SRP_RNA from 1 species